GAUGAAGAACGUAGCGAAAUGCGAUACGUAAUGUGAAUUGCAGAAUUCAGUGAAUCAUCGAGUCUUUGAACGCACAUUGCGCCCCCUGGUAUUCCGGGGGGCAUGCCUGUCCGAGCGUCAUUGCUGCCCUCAAGCACGGCUUGUGUGUUGGGCCUCCGUCCUCCUCCCGGGGGACGGGCCCGAAAGGCAGCGGCGGCGCCGCGUCCGGUCCUCGAGCGUAUGGGGCUUCGUCACCCGCUCUUGUAGGCCCGGCCGGCGCUUGCCGACACAUCAAUCUUUUUUCCAGGUUGACCUCGGAUCAGGUAGGGAUACCCGCUGAACUUAAGCAUAUCAAUAAGCGGAGG
rnacentral:misc_RNA from 1 species